CUUCUUUUGAAUUCAGAAGUCAACAACGCUUGAAAGAGGGAACGCUCAUGGAGCAUGGAGGGCUUCCAUGGCCUCUCGAAUCGGAACCUCUCAGAGGUUCGCCGAUCACAUUCGACCUUCGCCCUCGGAGGCAAGCAUUUAUCAUGCAACCACAUUUGACGGUCAGGAACUGGCAAUAAUCAAAGUAUAUAAUGUAGUAUUUACUCCUGUUGGGUGGACUAGCAUAGUCCCUUUUUAUUUUGGGUCCAUAAUGGGCUAGACCUAUUAUGUAACUAAUGUAACCAAUUGAGGAAGCCAUGUACUCUCACCCUAUAAAUAAAUGGAGUUGGCCCAUUAGACUUCAUUAGGUCAUUUGAAAAUUAUGGUUGAGAGACUAGACUCAUCCACCCACACUACAAACAGGACGAUGGCUGGAAAAUCGAAGAUGGCAAACUCAUCAUCAAACAAUGAAGCUUUGGGAAAUCAAGAUCUAUCUCUCCCAUUAUCAGCCAUCAAAAUUUCUAUCGAGGACUGAAUUGGUGCAAGUGUGUUUCAGUCUAAUAUGGUUGAUGUGCCCUCUCACACUUGGUGGUUGGAUACUGGUACAAAUAUUCAUGUUACAAAUUCCUUGCACGAAUUAAAAAAUACCAGAAAUUCAAGUAAUGAGGAGUUGAAGGUGAACAUGGGAAACAGUGUGAAGGUUGAAGUUGAACACAUUGGUACCGCAAAGCUUGUUUUGGCCUCUGGGCAUUUUUUGGAUCUAAAAGGUACUGCUUUUGUACCUUCUAUUAGGAGAAACCUAUCUCUAUUUCUGUUUUGGUUUAUACAUGGCCUUCUUUAUAUCAUUUCUCUUCUAAUGCUCCUUCUGUGAAUGUUGUAGUUGGUUCCAAGCGUA